GACGAACGCUGGCGGCGUGCUUAACACAUGCAAGUCGAACGGAAAGGCUCCAGCUUGCUGGAGUACUCGAGUGGCGAACGGGUGAGUAACACGUGGGUGAUCUGCCCUGCACUUCGGGAUAAGCCUGGGAAACUGGGUCUAAUACCGGAUAGGACCGCACUCUGGUGUGUGUGGUGGAAAGGUUUUUCUGGUGUGGGAUGAGCUCGCGGCCUAUCAGUUUGUUGGUGGGGUAAUGGCCUACCAAGACGGCGACGGGUAGCCGGCCUGGGAGGGUGGACGGUCACAUUGGGACUGAGAUACGGCCCAGACUCCUACGGGAGGCAGCAGUGGGGAAUAUUGCACAAUGGGGGAAACCCUGAUGCAGCGACGCCGCGUGGGGGAUGAAGGCCUUCGGGUUGGAAACUCCUUUCGCUAGGGACGAAGCUUUUUGUGACGGUACCUGGAGAAGAAGCACCGGCUAACUACGUG
rnacentral:rRNA from 1 species